rnacentral:rRNA from 1 species
UACGUAGGGGGCUAGCGUUGUCCGGAUUUAUUGGGCGUAAAGAGCGUGUAGGCGGCCAUGUAGGUCCGGUGUGAAAACUCGAGGCUUAACCUCGAGAUGUCAUCGGAAACCAUUUGGCUAGAGUCCGGAAGAGGAAAGUGGAAUUCCUGGUGUAGCGGUGAAAUGCGCAGAUAUCAGGAAGAACACCAAUGGCGAAAGCAGCUUUCUGGGACGGUACUGACGCUGAGAGGCGAAAGCUAGGGGAGCGAAUGGG